AGAUUGAACGCUGGCGGCAGGCCUAACACAUGCAAGUCGAGCGGUAGAGAGGUGCUUGCACCUCUUGAGAGCGGCGGACGGGUGAGUAAUGCCUAGGAAUCUGCCUAGUGGUGGGGGAUAACGUUCGGAAACGGACGCUAAUACCGCAUACGUCCUACGGGAGAAAGCGGGGGACCUUCGGGCCUCGCGCCAUUAGAUGAGCCUAGGUCGGAUUAGCUAGUUGGUGAGGUAAUGGCUCACCAAGGCGACGAUCCGUAACUGGUCUGAGAGGAUGAUCAGUCACACUGGAACUGAGACACGGUCCAGACUCCUACGGGAGGCAGCAGUGGGGAAUAUCGGACAAUGGGCGAAAGCCUGAUCCAGCCAUGCCGCGUGUGUGAAGAAGGUCUUCGGAUUGUAAAGCACUUUAAGUUGGAGGUAAGGUUGUAACUUAAUACGUUGACAACUUUGACGUUACCGACAGAAUAAGCACCGGACUAACUUCGUGUCAGCAGCCG
rnacentral:rRNA from 1 species